AUUCUAUGAUGAUGGCACUUCCGUAAUAAUUCUUUGUACCUUUCCCAUGCCUCAUACAAGGACUCAUCAUCCAUUUUUUGAAAAAUAGUGAUCUCGUUCCUCAACUU
rnacentral:snoRNA from 1 species